AUCGCUUCUCGGCCUUUUGGCUAAGAUCAAGUGUGUAGUAUCAAGUGUAUUUUUAGUGUGGAGACAAUGAGAACGGUGGGGUUGAGAAUUAGCUUUGUCUUGGGAGUUAAUUGUCCCAUGUUUAGACAUUAAUC
ensembl:snRNA U2 U2 spliceosomal RNA